UAGUCCACGCUGUAAACGAUGAGUGCAAGGUGUUGGGGGCCAAACCUCGGUGCCGCCGUUAACACAGUAAGCACUCCGCCUGGGGAGUACGUACGCAAGUAUGAAACUCAAAGGAAUUGACGGGGACCCGCACAAGUAGCGGAGCAUGUGGUUUAAUUCGAUGCAACGCGAAGAACCUUACCAGGGCUUGACAUAAAAGUGACGAGGGAUAGAGAUAUGCCUUUUCUCUUCGGAGACAGUUUUAC
rnacentral:rRNA from 1 species